ensembl:lncRNA
AGGGACCCUGAAGAAGGAGAUUGGGACCCUGAAGAAUGAGAUUGGUGAGUGAAGCUGUUAUGCUGCUGGGCACCUGUGUCACCCAUUGGCAGUUUACUGGGUCAUGAUUUUGUGUUUGAGGUGGUGUUGUAUGGAGGAGGGUUUGGAGCACGUGAGGGUGCAGAGGGGUCUGUGGUGGGAAGCCUGCGAUGCGAAGUCUACAGAUGGCUCAGCCCCUACCAGCCCGGUAGGGGCUGGUCUUCUUUGGUAGACACUGGACUGGUGCAAUUAUCCUUGGCAAGGACUGGUGCAAUUAUUCUGCUCUAGUUUGAGGGGUAUGUGGGCUUGCAUGACGUGGCAUGAGCAAAGGCACCUCCAGAAUCCUAUGCUGAUUGUCACUGUGUUGGGAUGUCCAAGCCUGCGGUGCCGUGGGACCUUUGGUUGUGUAACUGACUUUGUGUCUGUUUCUGCGUUGGCUGCAUUGAUUCAGCAGAGGAGCUGUGUGCAAAAAAGUUGAGUCCCUCUGCCUGCACUCAGUCGUUUGCUAUUGGGAUAAGGCCUUGGGAAUAGCCAAGAGGGCUAUUCCAGCCAUGCCAAGUGUCUCCAGACAGGUCUGUCAUUGAGCCUGCCACCUCCCCAGUCUCAGUGUUCCAACUGGUGCUUGUUGUCUUCCGGGUUGGUUUCAAGAUUAUUAUCUGAACUACAGGAAUGUUCUCUUAAUGUUCAGGACUUUAUUGCUUUGUGGUGGCCAGUGUGAAUAUUGCAUGUUACUUUUGAUGAGUCAAGACAUAAAUCCAUAACCCAUCAGAACAGGUAUCCCCAUGGAAACUGAAUGACAUGCAUUAAGUGCUUUUUUGAUAGUGUGGUAUGAUGAAUGUCCUUGAGUGCCCUUGGUGUGAAGUCUUUAUUCGAGGGAGAACUGUGUGAAGGGUUUACUUCUUGUGCUUUCCAGCACCCUACUCUCCCACAUUUUCUAUUUGCAGAACUGCUGGCAUGUGUUCUUAACACGUGUAUCAGAGGAGCUCCAGGCACAAGGCAGUGCAAGAAGACCUACAGAUAUUUUCUACAGGGGAAGAUGCUUGGGAGAUUUUGAGGAUGGCUAUUCCAGCAAUGCCAGUUUCCUCCCAAACAGCCCUGUGAGCGGGCCUGCCACUAUCCCAGGCUCAGCAUUCCCUUUUGGUAUUGUCAAAGCUUUGCUUCUGGACCACUUGCAUAAUGUUUUUUUUAUCUCUUUGUUUUGGAAGUGGUUCCUCAACGUAACUGUGGAGUUACUGUUUAU